rnacentral:tRNA from 1 species
UCUAAUAUGGCAGAAAUAAUGCACUGGAUUUAAACCCCAUUUAUAAAGAUACUCUUUUUUUAGAA